UCUAACUUUGAUUAAGAGGCCCAUAUAACAAGAUCUUACAGGUUGCCUCUAAACACCAAUCAACCAAAAAAUUUGAAGAAAAUGAGGAUAGAAAAGAAAUGCAAUGGAAUGCCAGGAAGAAAAAAAAUAUGUCAAUACCACCUGAUCAUUAUGAACAUCAAUCCAAACGACCAACUUCUAAUUGCCUAAAGUCCAAAUAUCGUCCUUAAUUUCAAAACAUAAGCCCAAACCAAGGACCGAAACAAAACAUCCUAAGCUAAUCCAAACUCAUGAACGAAAUCAACAACAACUUUACCUUUAUCAUGUUUACAGAAUUUUUGCAAUACCAAAACGUAGUAGUUAUCAAAAUCGAACAGAAACAUGGCAAAGCAUUAACAUACUUGCAGGACUAUUUACACAACCACACAAGAAUCCUUCAGCAAAAUGAAACGGCCUAGUAACCAUCAUUAUUUACAUGUAUAAGCGAAUUUCUACUUAUCAAAAUAAUAGCAGCAGUUUGACAACUAAACCGAAGUCAUAACAAAAUAUAUUAACAUAAAACUCAUAGUUCAUAUUGUUACCGUCAGCGAGUCGUUUGUUAUGUCUCGUUCUUGUUGGCGCAAUCGAAACGGGACUCAGCCAUGUCAAGACAACUGUUUCCAAAACCUUGAAUAACACUCACAACCUGCGUACUAAUUUCCAACAGCUGACAACCAAAACGAAAAAUAAAAAAAUCCUUGAAUUCGAAAAUAUCAACAAGAGUUAAUAUGAAGAUGAUGCAUCGUUGUUGUCGCAAAGGAGAUUUGGGCUGGCUAUUCCGAAAGGAGGAACAGUGAUGGCGUCGGCGGUGCGAAAUGGGUUUGGCUUUAAGGGUUUGGCGUUGGUUUUGACGGCGGCGAUGGUUGAGCGAUUUUGGUUGUUUCACGAAAAGAGCUUGAGUGCGAUGACAGUUGUAAGGUGUGGAUGAUUCGGUAGCUGAGGUGAUACGGUUGUUAGGGUUUCUACGGUGAUGAUUUUGACGGUGGCGGAAUCGGCGGAAGCAAUGAAGAACGGUAGUGGAGGCGGACGAAGG
rnacentral:lncRNA from 1 species